UUCUCUCUGACUUCUCCUUCUCUCACAGCGCGCCUCACUAUUUAUGCUUUUAAACCUUCCUCUGAGUUCUCUCUUCUCCCCAACAUCGCCUCUUUGAUAGAGCAUCUCAGUUUUACUUCCAUCACUCUCUUUCUCUCUAUUUUUAAAAGUAAAAAGAAGAUAUGAAAGUUGAAGAAGAAAGAGUUGGUGAAGAAACGAAACCAAAUCUCAAAAUAUCUUCAAAAUGUUUCAAUUAAAAGUCAAAAUCGAACUCCAAUUCAAUCAGAUUACUAACCAAUUUCUUCAACCAAAUUUCAGCAGAACUCUAAUUAUUUCUUCAACCCAAUCGAACAAUUUUUUAAACCAGAUUUCAGUAAAACCCUAAUUUGUUCUUCAGCUUUCUAAUAUGAUAUUUGGGUUUCAAGAUUCAACAUAAACAUGUUGAUUGCUAGAGUUUCCCUACACGGAGCUGAUGUUAAAAUUUCCGUUGUUAAACGAUUCAUUCAUUACUAUUGAUUACAUGCAACACAGAAGACUGUUGAUGGUCCGUCGAUCAAAGACUGGAGAGGUGGAAGGAUGCUUCAUUCAGCAUCAUUCCUAGCAGCACUUGUGCAGCAAGGUACAUUAUUUUUAACACAAGGCAGUUUCUUGACACGUAUAAAGUAUUGACUAAUAUUCCGAUUAUCGCAAAAUGGGUUUCUUUCGAUUUCAAAGCAUGUUACAGAACGACAACCCCAGAAUGCCCUUCCAAAGGUCUAGAAUCAUCAGAGCACCUUGAUGGGUUUGUUCAUUCUAUUUGUAUAACUCCGGAAUGUGUUAAAUGAAUUCUAUGGUGUCAUCAUGAGUUGUUGAACGACAGUUUUACAUCCUACAACUCUAUUGCAGAGCUGAAUUUGCUGAAACUGAUAAGGUUUAUGCACAUAUGACUCCCCGGUAAAGAGUUCACAAUGAUAUUUAUCCUGGUAUUACCUUCUACAAAUUUAUUUAUGUUUAUGUUAAAUACAGAGUUUAAUACAUCUUAUGUACCUCCCAAAGUGGCUGAAAGGAUCUUUCCUCCCCUUGUGUGUUCAGUUUUUUAUUUUUCUUUUCACAUCUUAAUUAAAGUAUCAACGUUACACACACUUGUUAUUUUUACAAAUUCUAGUGCUUAUUAAAGAUCAUAUUGGACUUUUCGAUGCAACCCCAGCUAAAGGUAUGUAAAAGCUAACUUUUUUUGUAUCACAUUUUUGCCCUAAAUCUCUCGCUUACACGAACAUCAUUUUCAUUCUCAAGCCCAACCACGAAUAAGUAUGAGGCUCACUAUACACGAAGAACUUACUUGACAGGAAGAAUUUUUGAUUGCCAUUCCUUCUUUAAGGUUUAAUUUUUUCUUGUUAACUUGGUGAUAAUAUCAUAUGUUCGUUAAGCAUGUCAAUGUCUUGUAGUUUCUGUCAGGCUUUUGAGAUAUUUUGUCCAUCAUCUGAACUUGAUAUAUUUUGUGUUUUCAUUGCAAUUGUGGUUUGCGUUCUUAUUCAUUUCAAUGUGUAAGUAUUAUUAAUAUGCAUUCCUGUCGAUGGAAAUUUUUUGUGUUUCCUUGUAUUUUGUAUGCUAAAAUUGUGUUACAAGUUUAGUACUAAAUACUUCUAGUUGAUCAUAACAAACAUUCCUUGUAUAGCCUUCACUUGUCUGCAUACUUCUAUAUCAUCUUUGAAUGGUCCAUUCUUAUCGUGUUGAAACUAAAUCAUUAACUAAUGCCCAAGCUUAUCUUUUCUGCAGGUAUGUGCGUCUCAGUUCAUCAUCAGAUAAUUCAUCAUUUUGUUAGGUUUCCCCUAUCUUUAAGAAAGCUUAGAACUAGUAUUAGUGUUAGUUCAUGUUUUGUUUAUAAUUUUUCUGGUUAUUCUGAACCCAAGUGUCAACUGAAAUCAAAUAUGAUCAGUGUGUUGUAUAUAUAAUGAAUUCAAAUGUGAAUUGAAUGGUGAAUAUUUCAACUUAAGAAUAUUUGAAUGUAAAUUGAUUGAAUUUCAUUCAG